CAAGGGUUCUGGCAGUGAAGACAAAUGGAAGAGGAUUCACAAGAAAUAUAAGAAGUAAAAUCAAUAGAACUUGAUGAUGAAUUGAUGUUCUUUUUUUUUUUUUUUUUAAUCAGACUAGCCAAAGAUUUUCUAUUUUACUGGUCUUUUCUAUGAGCUAGCUUUUGGUAUUUUGGAUCAACUUUUACUGUUGUUUUCUAAUUCAUUAAUUUCCCCUUUUUUCUUUAUUAAUUUCUUCACAGCCACAUAAUAUUACCUUUGGCUGAUGAUCUAUUCUGUAGGAAGUCUGCUGGAACUGGCGUAUCUCUCUGAUGAUGUGUGAUAUCUAACAGAGAAAAAAACAAAACAAAAUGACAACAACAAAAGCAAAGAAAGUCAUAGCCUGUGUUUUCUAGAGGGCAUGGUUCAGAAUUCUUUCCCUUCAGAUGUGGAGGCCUCUGCACUUCUGGUUCAGUUCCAAUAGAGAAAAGAUUUGCUUCUAGUCUUCUGGCGAUGCUUGGGCAUUGAUGAACAUUCCAGGAUCCUGGGUUCCCCACCACCAUCACUACCACGUCUAUCAGCAGUAUCACCAGUUUAAUAAUUGUGCAUUUAUAAUGACACACCAAAUAAAAGGAAAUGGGAUUAUCCAAGCUGUAUGAAUAGAAAAUUCCUCUUUCAAUUAGGGUAGUCCAAAAACAGAGCCACAAGCAACCAGUGUCUGUCCUGGGAUUGGUCCACACUGUCUUUGUGUGGAAAAGGUGACGAAGCCUAAAGAAAGUUGAGUUGACUAAGAUCCAGCCUGGUUUCACUUGGGCCAUAUGGCCUUAACGGCAGAAACUACUUUUUCCAGGAACUACUGUCAGUGCUUCUAACAGUAAUAAUACUCACUUUACUACGAGUGCUAAUGACUUUUCAGGCAUUGUGUUAACCUCCUUACACAUUUCACAUCAUGUACUCUUCACAACAACCUAAUGAAGUAGCUAUUAUGAGUCCCACUUUAUAAAUGAGGAAACAGGUUUGGACCGGUUGAGAACUUGACAUCCAUAAAUGGCCGAGCCAAGAUUUAGCCUUGUGACAUCCUGCAAAAGGUAGAAUCAGACUCUGCUCAGUGUUGUAGUUUCAAGCUCUACUGCCUACUAAAAUUUCUGUUCCCUAUCAAUCUUACACUGCUAACUCUCAGGUCAUUAUUCAGCAGAAAGAAUUGGCACAUCUGAAGCCUGAUGAAUAAUCAAGACCUGGGAUGGCAAACAGGAUUCAUCUUAAGAACCAACUCCAACUGACUGACGUCUGAGGUCACCUCUUGGUGCAGAGAGAAAGCUCUCAGAAUUGAUGGGUAAAGUCUGGCAUGGGCGUCUUGAGGGGAUUGGCAACAAAAGGCCCUCAUACUGGUUGAUCCUGACAGUUUUUCCCAGCCUGAACACCCUCACUUCCCUGAUAGCUAUUUAGUCAAAUAUCCCUAGGGGCACAAACUUCCUGAAUCUAGUUUUUAAAUAUUAGUGUUUUAAAUGCAAAGAGCAUAACAAACUAGUUAUGAAGAGAAAAGAAACAGUAAUCACUCAGAGUCCCUCAUGCACUGAAAUCAGGCUUCACCUCAAUAUGUACUUACAAUUUUAAAAUCUGAAAACAGACACAGUAGUGGAAUCCCUGGGCUUACUUAGAUGUUUUCAUAGAAUGGAAAAAGUGAAGAAGGCCCCUAACUGUUUCCUAGGGCUGCCUUAAUAAAAUCCCACAAACUGGGUGGCUUAAAACAACAGAAAUGUAUUGUCUCACCUUCCAGACAGAGGUCUGUAAUCGAACAGUCAGCAGGGCUAUGCUGCCUCUGAAUCCUGGAGGGGAACCCUCCCUUGCCUUUUUAGCUGCUGGUGGUUUGCCAGCGAUCUUUGGCUUUCUUUGGCUUGCAGCUGCAUAACUCAGUCUCUGCCUCCAUCUUCAGAUGGCAUUGUCUGUGUCUGUCUUCCAUGGUUGACUUCUUAUAAGGACACCAAUCAAAGUGGAUUGGGGUCCACCCUACUCCAAUACCUCCACCCUACUCCAGUACCUCAUCUUAACUGAUUACACUGGCAAUGGCCUUAUUUCCAAAUGAGGUCCAUUUUGAGGUAUGGGAGGCUAGGACUUCAAUAUAUCUUUUAGGGGGUAGGGAGAUACAAUUCUACCUGUAAGAGACCCUACACCAAAGAACGGUCUGGCUAUGGGAUCUUCAGCUAAUGGGGGCUAAGAAAGACUUACAGGCCAGUUGCUAACACAUCACAAACCAACAUCUGGUGUUGCUGCAUCAGGGAAGGACUUGCAAAAACAUGGACUGAGCUAAAAUAGACUGCCUGUGGAUGACACAAACAUUCUGGAUAACAUGUAACAAGGAGACAAUGCAGCCAAGCUUCGAGGAAAGGAAGGGUCAUUUCUAGAGGUUGUAAAUGAAGAGGGAACUAGAAAUGAGAGUGGUAAAGAAGUACCAGACCCUGGCAGAGAGAUGCUGGGCUUCCCAUCCCCAAGCACGGACAGAGGACGUACUUAUGAGUGAGCUGGGAAGCUGCAACUGAAAUGUCUGCACAAAGCUAGCAAUGGCUGCCCUUUCCACAUAGAGUGGACAAAAAAAAAAUCCACCCACCAGUUCAAGAAGCUAUAAGAAAGCUUGUUACCCACUUGGAUACUGGGUGCAACAACUAUGGACACAAUCUCUAGCAGUACACCCAAAGUUGAAGCCUUUAUCACAUAGAAGUGUGGAGUCAUACCUUAUACAAUCCCCCAUAGUCAUACCACCUACGUGAUGUGGAAAUCCUAAACUGACAAGCUGUAGAAAAGCUGGUCGAGGACCAGUGAAAUGAGCCAAAGAAAAUUCCUAACUACUCUGUGAUGUCACAUCCACAUUUUAGGUGCACGAGACUCCCACAGACACAACCACACUCACAAACAUGAGCUUACAAUAAACAAUUACAACCCACAGGAGGAAACAUCAUCUCUCUUUGAUGCCUGCCGGACUUGCAGGAGAGGCUCCUCAAGGGUUCCUUUCUUUAACUGUUGGUUCUAUAGUAAACCGCUGUCUGCCUCCAUAAAUAACAGCAACUGCACUCCACACGAGUUAUACCACCCCGUCCCGAGUCUUCCUGAGACAGCAGACCCCAAAUUGCCCCCAGGAAAGAGAAGAUAAUACAUAACACUUUACUGCUGAGAACAUAGUCCCCACUGUCCCCAGGAUUCUAAGAUUUAUUGGCUCUUAUUUUCUAUGAACAUAGCAGGAAUCAACCAAUGUCAUCCAGUCGGCAUCUUCAGCUGCCUUCACCUGAGGAUAUUCGCGGCGGCUUUCCUUUCUUGGGGAAGAAGGUCUGGGUCUCGCAAAACUUCUUCUAGCAAAUUUAGGACAUUCAUCUUUAGUUCAUUGUUGAGUUCGAAAUCCUGUAAAAUAAAAUGAAUCUUUUUAAAUUUUAGCUUUGAAAGGGUUAGCUCUAUGACACAUGACACCAUUCUCCAUGAUAAAUUCUCUAGAAGCUAGGUAUGGAAAUUAAAAUGUAUGGACCCUAGAGUUCCCUGCCACACCUAGGGUCCCGAUUUAAUUGGUUAGGAAUGGUGGUCUGUUAUUGGUAGUUCUGACAGGCUCCCCUGGGGGCUCCCCAGGGGGUGCAAAUGUGCAGUCAGUGUUGAGAACAACUGCCUCUAGGAACAGCCAUUGGGAAGGGUCCUUAACAGAGCUUACGAGGCCCUGGCCCACCCCUCCAGCCUCUUCUCUCACACUGCUUGCAUCCCUGUGGCCUGCAACACGUACCACGCCCCCAACACACACCACGCCCCCAACACACUCACACUGUCCUAGACUUAACAAAUGCCUUCAGUUCCUCAAGAGAUAUGUGCUUCUCAUAGCCUGGAACACUAUGCCGCCUCCAUACAUGUAUUUCUAUUCAUAUUUUGGGCCUAGGAGAUGAUAUGCACUCUCCCUGGAGUCUUCUUAAUUCACCCAGUGGGAUUGGGAGCUUUUCUUUGUGCACCCACGGCACACGUAACUCACGGCUGUCAACUCCCUGUAUUCCAUUGAAAGGGCCAAUUUAAUUGCCUGGCUUUUUUCUGGACCAUGAGUAAGAUCAGUAACUGUGACAUACCAGUAUCUCAAAGAAUAUUUGCUGCAAGAAUAAAAUCUGUCAUUUAAGCAGUAACUUGAAUGAAAAUAUGCUAAGGCUAUCAAUAUCUAUAUCUACAUCAAUAUAGAUAUGCUAAGAGCUAAAGAAUGACACAGACUAAUGGGGCCACAUCGAAUGAACAUAGAAGUGAGAUUGAAGAGGCACCCACUGGGGAAAGUUGGGACAAUAUGAGCAUCAAAAUGAAUAAUGAGAGUAAUAAGCAAUAACCAGUUUAAUAAGAAGAACCUGUAAGUCCCUAUCGAUAUUGAUGCUCACAAAGACAGACAGAUUUUAAAAAGGUAGAAAAUAAAACUAUUCUUCUUCUUUUUUUUUUUUUUUUUAAAUCACAGGGUCUCUCUCUGUCACCCAGGCUGGAGUGCAGUGGUGUGAUCAUAGCUCACUGCAGCCUCAAAUUCCUGGGCUCAAGGGGGUCCCCCACCUCAGCCUCCCAAGUAGCUGGGACUACAGGUGUGUGCCACCAUGCCCAGCCAAUUUUUAAAUUUUUUGUAGAGACAGGGUCUUGCCAUGUUGCCCAGGCUGGUCUCAAGCUCCUGGGCUCAAGUGACCCUCCCAUCUCAGCCUCCCGAAGUGCUGGGAUUACGACCGUGAGCCACUGCACCCAGCCUAAAGCUAUUCUUUAUAGUAGAAUUCCAAAUAGUAGAUGCAAAGAAAUAAAUGAGUUAGAAAAUCACCAUUUUCUUUUUUUUUUUUUUUUUGAGAUGGAGUCUCACUCUGUCACCCGGGCUGGAGUGCAGUGACGUGAUCUCGGCUCACUGCAACCUCCGCUUCCCGGGUUCAAGUGAUUCUCCUGUCUCAGCCUCCUGAGCAGCUGGGAUUACAGGUGUGUGCCACCACGCCUGGCUAAUUUUUGGAUUUUUAGUAGAUACAGGGUUUCACCAUGUUGGCCAGGCUGGUCUCAAACUCCUAACCUCAAGUAACCUGCCUGCCUUGGCCUCCCAAAGUGCUGGGAGCCACCGCACAGGCAUGAGACACUGCACCCGGCAAAAAAUCACCAUUUUCAACCAAAGCAGUAAUCACUGAUUCAGGCAAGGAUCAUGACUGAAUGCUAAAAUGGUUGAAUGAAGUGUAUUAGAGAACAGAAUUAACAGUGUCAGAGUACACCUCAGAGAUUACUUAUUAAUUACAAAGGGAGAAUCUGGCAGAUAACACCUUACCCCAAGUGAUCAAAGUUACCAUCCCCCAUGAUGGAAGAAACCAACAUCAUAUGUCUACUAAUGUAAUGCUCUGUAAUGUAAUACAUCCUUAGUAUUUCUGCCUAAAAUGCAUAAAUUGAUCUAAUUUUGAAGAAGCAUUGGCCUGUACUCUUCAGAAAUGUCAGUGUCAUAAACAACAGAGACAAACUGAGGAACUCUUCCAGCUCAAAGGACACCAAAGGGAUAACAGCUAAAUGCAACCUGUGAACCUGGAGUCAAGAGGCGAAUGCUUUAAAAGGGCAUUACUAUGACAACUGGCAAAAAUGGAAUCAGGACUAUGCACUAGUAGAGAGCAUUCUGCCAAUCUGAAAUUUUCCUGAAUUUGAUCAUUUUACUGUUGGCUGUCUAAGAGCAGGUUCUUCACUUAUACACUAUUGGUGGGAAUGCAAAUUAGUUCAGUCCCUGUGGAAAGCAGUUUGGAGAUUUCUCAAAGAACUAAAAAUAGAACUACCAUUUGACUCAGCAAUCCCUGGGUAUAUACCCAAAGGAAAAUAAAUUGCUCUACCAAAAAGAGACAUAUACUUGCAUGUUCAUUGCUGCAUUAUUCAUAAUAGCAAAGACACAGAAUCAACCUAGGUGCCCAUCAACGGUGCAUUAGAUAAAGAAAAUGCGGUAUACAUACACCAUGGAAUACUAUGCAGCCUUAAAAAACGAAAUCAUGGGCCAGGUGCGGUGGCUCACGCCUGUAAUCCCAGCAUUUUGGGAGGCUGAGGCGGGCGGAUCAUGAGGUCAGGAGAUCGAGACCAUCCUGGCUAACAC
rnacentral:lncRNA from 10 species